CCUGGGAAGCAGGGCUCAAAACCUGGCCAGGAGGUCUUGUUGGGCCAGGAAUGUCCGUGGUUGGUGAGGAGGCUGGGAGAAGGCCUUUUUGAUGGCUCCAUUGUUCACAGCGCUGCCCUACAAAUACCAUAUCCGUCCCCACCUCCUCUGCAAGGGUCGAGCGGAAGAGUAGGUCUGGUGAGCUGAGCUCUAGGGAGCUGGUACCAUCUUCCCUCAAUCCCCCUCGGUUACCCCUUGGGGCAGCAACGACGCCAUCCCAGCCCCUUCCAGAGAACACACAAAGGAAGCCCCACCCGUCCUUAGACCUGAGGACACGCUCGGGAGCGGGCUGACGUGGACCCCGUUUCAGGGCGCCCCGGGCCCCUGCGGGGAACAAUAGCCGCCGCCUCCUGGGCGGUCUGGCGGGCGCGCGGCACAAACGUCCGCGCCGCCACGUGAUGCGCGCGCUCGUUCCGCGCUCUCCGCGCCUCAGCGAGCGGCCAGGCUGCGGGCGGGGUGGGCUGGCGCUCCUGAUCCACCUGGAACACUUUUGCAAAGACAGACGCGGUUCCUCCUACUUCAGAGCAAGUCUGGGCCAGCUGGGAUCCGACCAGAAAUCGCAAGCGGAGGAGACGCAGUAGCGCAGGCUGAGCGCUAACUGAAGGCGCGACCUGAGCCCGGCGCCUGCUGGGGAGCUGCGCAGCCAGGACAGCGGUCGGCAGCACAGGGCCUGGGCGCAGGGCCCGCCGUCACCACCUCACGUCGGAAGCCAGCACUGCUGCCCGCCAGCCCUGCCGCCUGCCCUCGGACUUCCCAGGGCGCCCAGGGUCCUCCCAACGCGCCUGCACCCACACCCGCCCCUGAGCCACAGUGACCUUGCAUUCCCCGCCCCCUGCCACACCUCCUGCGUGCCCGAGUGUCACCCUUAAAUACCGCUCUACACCCAGAGAGGGACGAAUACACCUCUGAAGACAGGGCAAGACUAAUUUCAAUGGGUCAGAAGGUUCUUGCAGGCACUGUUUUAUUUAAGAGUGCCUAUUUACUGGCAGGAGUAUUUGUGUGGGAGGAAGUAGGCUAAGACUGCUGUUGAACUUGAAGCUAAACUUGAAUGCCAUUUAAAAUAACAAUAAAAAUAUACUUAAAAC
rnacentral:lncRNA from 1 species